rnacentral:ncRNA from 1 species
UCAGAUACGUUGAUGAGAUAAGUAAUUUUCAGCGGCAUGCAUUAGAGAGCGGAUAUUUUGGUGAAAGUCCGACAUGCUUAGAAGACGAAAAUGGUCUCGGAGUUCAAUAAGUUGGUGAGUUGUCCGCAAUUAGCCAACUUCGGGUGCGCCCGUUACCGCGUUAGAGUAUCUCUUUAUUGACGUACUUGUUAAGUGUCUACCAGUGAUGUUAGACAAAACCAGGGUGGUAACGCGAUCCAAUCGUCCCGUAG